UGCCAGCCGCCGCGGUAACACGGGGGGGCGCAAGCGUUAUUCGGAAUUAUUGGGCGUAAAGGGCGCGCAGGCGGUCUUGUCCGUCAGGUGUGAAAGCUCGGGGCUCAACCGGAGGACUGCCAUUGAAACUGUAGGGCUUGAGUACAGUAGAGGUAGGCGGAAUUUAUGAUGUAGCGGUGAAAUGCAUAGAUAUCAUAAAGAACACCGAUAGCGAAGGCAGCUUACUAUGCUGUUACAGACGCUGAGGCACGAAAGCGUGGGGAGCGAACAGGAUUAGAUA
rnacentral:rRNA from 1 species